rnacentral:rRNA from 1 species
GACGAACGCUGGCGGCGUGCUUAACACAUGCAAGUCGAACGGAAAGGCCCGGCUUUUGUGGGGUGCUCGAGUGGCGAACGGGUGAGUAACACGUGAGUAACCUGCCCUUGACUUUGGGAUAACUUCAGGAAACUGGGGCUAAUACCGGCUAGGAGCUCCUGCUGCAUGGUGGGGGUUGGAAAGUUUCGGCGGUUGGGGAUGGACUCGCGGCUUAUCAGCUUGUUGGUGGGGUAGUGGCUUACCAAGGCUUUGACGGGUAGCCGGCCUGAGAGGGUGACCGGCCACAUUGGGCCUGAGAUACGGCCCAGACUCCUACGGGAGGCAGGGGUGGGGAAUAUUGCACAGUGGGCGGAAGCCUGAUGCAGCAACGCCGCGUGCGGGAUGACGGCCUUCGGGUUGUAAACCGCAUUCGCCUGUGACGAGACGUGAGUGACGGUAAUGGGUAAAGAAGCACCGGCUAACUACGUG